UGUUCUUCGAGUCGUUGUUUUAAUCCCCGAGUUGUGACUCCUAUGUAUACUUGUUCUUCUUGUGUGGUGUGAUUUUCAAUCGGUAUUCUAUACACACCUGACUUGUAAUUUGGAUGGAUUUUAUUUUUGUCAUUACGGAGUUGGUUGUAAACUGUUGGAAAUCGUUUGUACGUGAUCUUCUUACUAGUUUUUUGUGCUAUUUUUUUAACAAGGUUGGAGCUCCUCAUAGCAUAGGGUAUGGUCUCGUAUCGUUCUUUGUGGGCGCGCAGGUUAUCAGCAUUCUCAAUUGUUUGCUUAGUUUUCUGGAGGAUUUUUUCUAAUACUUGCCUAGGGUAACCGUGUUGGUGACC
rnacentral:lncRNA from 1 species